UACAGAGGUCUCAAGCGUUGUUCGGAUUCAUUGGGCGUAAAGGGUGUGUAGGUGGCGCCGUAAGUCGGGUGUGAAAUUUCGGAGCUUAACUCCGAAACUGCAUUCGAUACUGCGGUGCUUGAGGACUGGAGAGGAGACUGGAAUUCAUGGUGUAGCAGUGAAAUGCGCAGAUAUCAGGAGGAACACCGGUGGCGAAGGCGGCAUCCUGGACCAACACUGACGCUGAGGAGCGAAAGCCAGGGGAGCAAACGGG
rnacentral:rRNA from 1 species